GGGCUUGUACUGGUUUCGACGGGGGUUUUGAAGUUGCGGAAGCCAUCCGUGGUCCGGGACCACGUUAAAACUCGGAAUUAAAAUUAAACGCUGAAGACAAUUUAGCACUCGCUGCCUAAUGGCAGCUGUCGGCCUUAAGCUUCCUGCGGCUUAAGCACCGGCAUCAAACUUGCAGGGCACUCCGGCUCUUAAGCUUUGCGGAGCCGGAAGAAAAUCAUGAAGCUACUAAAGCCCGCAGCCUGUCAGCCGGCGGCGGAUGGAGGGAAUGUCAAAUAACUGACUGUGAUGGGAGAUGCCGCAGUGGAUGGGCUUUCGGACAGGGGUUCAACUCCCCUCAGGUCCACUA
rnacentral:tmRNA from 1 species